rnacentral:lncRNA from 1 species
GCUUUCUUCAAGGGGCCGUUGAGGCUUGGGCUUGAAGGUGGAUGAUUGUUGAUCCAAAGGGCCGUCGGGGCUUGAUCUUAGGAUGAACGAAGAACGAAGAACGAAGAGAGCUUUCUUGAUUCUUCGGGAACCUGGAUGCUUGAGAGCUUCGGAGUUUCAGAGCUUCAGAGCUUGCUUAAUGAUUUUGGUUCUCCCAAAUGAAUGAAAUGGGCUUGUAUUUAUAGAAUUUUCCAAGACCUAAUUUUGAAUAUAAUAUCCCAGAUGAAAUAAGUCGUUUCUGCCAGGUGUUGACACGUGUCUUAUUUGAUGACUUUUCCAACUCAUUUCAAUUUUUCGUGAGAGUCACAUGCUACGUGUAAAAUUUAUGCAAUACAUGAGCGUUGACACUUUGAUUUAUCGGUCAACAUUUAUUUACCGAAAUUUCGAUGUCUACAAAUGCCCCCACUUCAAAGCACGUCGUAUACAUGUGAUUGUCACGUGUAGGAGAUGCGUUUUGAAGUCCCUUACUGUAGAUGUCGAUCCAAGGGCCGUCGAGGCUUGAUCUUGAAUUGGGCUGGAGAUUUCUUCAAGGGGCCGUUGAGGCUUGAUCUUGAAUUGGGCUUGAGAUUUCUUCAAGGGCUGUCGAGGCUUGAUCUUGAAUUGGGCUUGAGAUUUCUUCAAAAGGUCGUUGAGGCUUGUUCUUGAACUUUUGUUUGGAAUUUCUUCAAGGGCCGUCGAGGCUUGAUCUUGAAGGUUGAAAUUGGGCCACAAGGAGCUUCAUGUGGUAGAUGAUAUUUGGCUUUGGUAGUGGAUGAAUCGGCACGUAUUUUGUUACGCUUGUUGACUUUCCACAACUUUGAUCUUGAACUGGGUUGGAGGAUUUUUUGGAUUCCUCCAAUUGUUGAUUUUCCACAGCUUGUUCUUGAACUGGAUUUGAUUCAAAUAUGGUGAACGCUUGAUCUUGAAUCGGACUUGUGAUUUCCUCAAGGGCCGUCGAGGCUUGAUCUUGAAUUUGGCCGGAAACUUCUUCAAGGGCCGUUGAGGCUUGUUCUUGGACUUCGUUUGAAAUUUCUUCAAGGGCCGUCGAGGCUUGAUCUUGAAGGUUGAAAUUGGACCACAAGGAGCUUUAUGUGGUAGAUGAUAUUUGGCUUUGGUAGUGGAUGAAUCGGCACGUAUUUAUUUUUGCGCUUUGUUGACUUUCCACAGCUUUGAUCUUGAACUGGGUUGGAGGAUUUUUUUGGAUUCCUCCAAUUGUUGAUUUUCCACAGCUUAUUCUUGAACUGGAUUUGAUUCAAAUAUGGUGGACGCUUGAUCUUGAAUCAGACUUAUGAUUUCCUCAAGGGCCGUCGAGGCUUGAUCUUGAAUUUGGCCGGAAACUUCUUCAAGGGCCGUUGAGGCUUGAUUCUUGAAGGUUGACUCGAACACAUGGCAAGCAGGCACGAGGUGAAGGUGACAACCUGUUUCUUUGUUCAAUCUUUCUAAUUCACACCUGAGCAGUUUGGUUAACGGUAUGAUCUUCAAGAUUGAUGGGCUUUUCUUCCAGUUGGUGACUUGAUCUUUAAGGAUUCGAUUCAAGGGUGGUGAAUCGGCACGUGCAGCCCACAACGCCUAGUAAGUCGACCCAAGAAUUUGAGGGUCAAAACAAGUUCACUGUCCUCAGGCAGAUGCGACAUCUUCUCGAGUUCUUCAUCUCAGACUCUUUCUGCUGAGUUGACUGUGCAUGCUGCAUUCUUCUCUGCUUGUUUUUUCAGGCAGAUAUGGCAGCUUCUCGAGUUCCUCAGUUCGGACUCCUUCUGCUGAGUUGACCGUGCAGGCCGCAUUCUUCUCUGCUUGUUGCUUCUGCACCUUGUCUCCACAUGCUGCAAGGUAUCAUUUUCACUUGCCUUAUCUGUUCUUCAGGCAGAUGUGGCAACUUCUUUGAAAGUACAGCAGCAGUGGAAGGCGAGUACUCGAGAGCAGUGCUAGGUAGGCAAUCAGGGAAGGGUUCCAAGCAGUCGGUUCCUUACCCGAGUUUGAGUGGAAGUUCCGGCAUAUUGUUUUCUUUAUCCUUGUCUUUGUAGGUAAGAACAAGGACAAAGGAAAUGACAGGGAGAACGCAUGAUAUGAAAUACUCUUGCUUUCUACCCUGGUGAUAUGAGAUACUUUUGCUUUGGAGUCAUUGGCUUGUAGAGGUACCCCAAGGAAUAAGGAACACUGGGUAACUCAAGAGGCUUCGUUGGGAAGGCAUUCUCAGAGAUGAAGGUUCUGUAUGUCUGCCUUGCUAUGGAGGGUGAAGAUGGACAGUUAUAGGAAGUUCUUUAACACCUGUAGAUGUACUAUUCUUUCACUCGUGUCGGCAACCGUUGGAUGAUUGAACAGUAUACUUCACGUGCUUUCUCCUUCACCGAAAAUCUUCGACAAAUUGCCCGUGAUUUUUGCCAAGAUGAGUGUGCAUGUGACAGGUGUUGACGCGGCUGAAAAUGACUGGCGCCUCUUCGAUAUCUGGGAUUGGCGCUUCGACAAAUUACCCGUGAUUUCCGCAAAGCUGAGUUUGCGUGUGAUGGGUGCGACGCGUCUGGAAAAGCAAGAUGCUUCUCCGAUUUCUGAGCUUGCCUCUUCGAUUUUUGAAUGGCCUCUUUGAAUUCUGAGCGCGCCUCUUCGAGCUCUGAAAUCCCGUCGAGCGCUGAUUUUUAUAGAGGCUUGCAGUUCGUUUCAAAGCACACUUGAAUUUUCACUUGUGAAAACUCCCUUCUUGCACUUCUAAGAUCUUGAUUUGUCCGAUCUCUUAUUUCUUCAACACUUUAAAAAUGUCUGGACCCUCCGACCGUCGUUUUGACUUGAAUCUUGGUGAAGAGGCAGUCCCGCCUUCUCCAGACAACAUAUGGCGCCCAUCCUUCAUAUCCCCUACUGGUCCUCUUACCGUUGGGGAUUCGGUGGUGAAGAAUGAUAUGACUGCUGCGGUGGUGGCCCGGAACCUUGUCACUCCCAGAGAUAACAGACUACUUUCCAAACGGUCUGAUGAGUUGGCUGUUAAGGAUUCUCUGGCUCUCAGUGUGCAGUGUGCGGGUUCUGUGUCCAACAUGGCCCAACGCCUAUUUGCUCGAACCCGUCAAGUUGAAUCGUUGGCGGCUGAAGUAAUGAGUCUCAAACAAGAGAUCAGAGGGCUCAAGCAUGAGAAUAAACAGCUGCACAAGCUCGCACACAACUAUGCCACCAACAUGAAGAGGAAAAUUCGACCAGAUGCAGGAAUCUGAUGGUCAGAUUUUACUUGAUCAUCGGAGGUUUGUGGGUUUGUUCCAGCAACAUUUGCCUUCGUCUUCUGGGGCUGCACCGCGUAAUGAAGCUCCGAAUGAUCAACUUCCGAUACCUCUUCCUUCUGUGGCUCCGCCGACCGCUGAAGCUCCGCCUGAGCAACCUUUGUGAAGGCUCUCUCAUUCUCUCGUUUGUUUAUUUUGACUUAUGUAUAUUUGCAAUUUAUCAAAACGUUUUAAUAAAUGAACUUUAUUUCUCUAAAUGUCUAUAUACUUUUUUUUUUUUUUUUUUUUUUUUUUUUUCACAAAGUAUCGACGAAAAUUUUGUUGUACUUUGAUUGCGACGGGGCAAACUGAGCAGCCAAGCUCAAAUGCACCCUUCUUAAACGUAACAGUGUAGUGAUUGUUUACAUCCGUUCCUUCGGGAAAUAUAAGGAGAGGGUUAUUGUCUACCCCCAGCACACGGGUCCCUUGAUUUCUUUGUUACAAUUUCCCCGCUCCUUUGCCUCUGAACGAUUGAACCAAAUGCACCCUAUGCUCUCCAGAAUAGUGCUUUGCAACAAUCCAACCCGUCCAGGAUGCUUUUGCUUAAUUACAGCAAAUGCUGUCAUUUGUUCCAAGGUGAUGAAAUCAAUCAUGGAAGUAUGAUUGGCCAUAAAGACCUGCUUAGGCGGCCUGCUGGGCCGUGGUCCGUGGGUGGUACUUCACAACCCCAGUCCAAGAUGCAACAAAGAAGCUACAAAUUAACUCUACCAAGGGCCUUUCUAAAUUCUUUCUUAAUUUAUCACGGCCCUUCAGCAGGAAGUGCCCUACGUGGUGAUUUAUUCGAUCUGAAACAUACAGCUAAAGCUGUAUGUCCUUUGUUUUCUCCCUAAAUAUGCUGUCUCCUGGCAGGUAGGUAUGGGCGUUUAAAGUCUCUCCAUCUUUAACAAAAGAUUGCUGCAUGUGAAUAUCAUCAUUCGGCGGCAUGUGCACUGUAGUGUUGGUCUGUUUUGGGUGUGUAUAAAUGAGCCUUCCUGUAAGGCUUCCAGGCAGGCAUUCAAUCCUUUCCCCCUUUUGCGGAUUUGAACCGGAGCUCGGCGCGGCGAGCCUCAAAUAAAAAUAUCGUCCUUCAUUUCCAUCCUUUUUUUUUUUCUGGCUCGAAUUCUCGAACCCAACUUCCGAAUCCACCUUGCCCGGAGCAACUCCUUUCUCUAACUCGGCCAAAACAGGCUUUACCGCUUCUACGACACGAAUAUCAUCCGGGUCGACUUCGUACCCCGCCUUUCGUGCUUGCCUGGCCAUCCAUUCCACGUGCUCAUUGACCUCAACGGAGGCGCCGACUGACGCGAGAGGCAGGACAUCGAGAGCCGUGCUCGCGGCCCGACUCGAGACCCUGAACUGAUUCGCCAUGCAGCGGAGAUAUGGCUUCGCACGGAUGAACUGCCGGGUAUGUCAGAACCCGGCGACCUGACCCGUUUGAUCUCUGAAUCAUUUCGAAAAGAAUGGAUAAAAGGUCUGAUCCUUAGAUUGGUGUCUUGUUUGUUUGUUCGUCAGCUGCACGUAUAUGUAUAUAUAUAUACCUUUGUCCGUCCCGGGAGCUGUAUGCAUAUAUAUAUAUAUAUGUAUAUUUGUUUGCAUGCCAUCUGUCCCGAGAGCUGCAUGCAUAUAUAUGUAUAUUUGUUUGCAUGCGUAUACGUAUAUAUAUAUAUAUUUGUUUGCAUGCAUAUAUGUACAUAUAUUUGUUUGCCCCCUCAUCUGUCCCGAGAGCUGCAUGCAUAUAUAUGUAUAUUUGUUUGCAUGUCAUCUGUCCCGAGAGCUGCAUGCAUAUAUAUAUAUAUAUAUAUAUAUAUAUAUUCGUUUGUCUUAUCAUCCUUACUAAUGGAUUUCCUUGUCAUACUGCUAGGGAUCUUUAAUUACGAAGCUUUCAGAGACGAGGCAUUUGGAGUGAGCGGGGCGUGAGCAUAUUUAUGCUUUCUACUACCCAGGGUUUGUGCCAGAGACUGCAACGGGGUUUCGCAGUGUAGUGCCUUUUGAUCAUAACUUUCCUUGGUGGCGACGUCGAAGUGCCUCUUGUCGCCGCUUGGAAGGACUGUCUCGCAGCUACCCCCUUUGCCGUGCUGCUGCUGAUUCAUUUUUUUUUUUCGAGGUCAUGGUAUUUUUUAAGUGCUUUAAGGGUGGCACCCUUACCAUUCUUGCGCAGGCAGGUGACUCGCAAGACAGAGGAACGACGUUGAAGCUUUACGAGCCCCUGACUGGUCCUAAAGCGCUUGCUCUUCCCGCGAAAGAUAACUCCAUGCAUAUUAAGUCGUGGUCUUCCGAAGUAUCUUGGGAUGUGGUGGAUUCUGUCCAAGCAGAUACGAAGAAGAAGGCACGCCUCUUGAAGAUUCUUAUCUUGAAUCCGUCGCACCACACCGGUGACAAUCAUUCGGCCUCAUUUAAGCUUCUUGGUGAUCACAUCCGCAUUGGAGCUAUGGCUUGGAAUGGUACCCUGUCUACCGCUGGAGAGGCCGUUUUUGAUGAGUUUUAUUGGGAGUGGCUCGAAGAUGUCUUAAGCCGAUCCAAGGAUAUGCUUACUAAGGUGGGCCUUUACCACGCUGUGUAUGCAUCCUUGUUUAGUUACGAUCGUCAUCCUUCUGUUAUUCGUGCGUUCUUAGAGUGUUGGUGUUCGGCCACCAACACACUUCACACAGCGCAAGGGGAGAUGUCAAUUUCACUUUGGGAUCUUCACAGGAUAGGAGGUUUGCCGAUCCAAGGCAAGUUUUACGACGAGGUCGUUCCCAGUGCAGAGGACCUUUCGCUUUGCAAUAACCGAGGAUUGCCUGCAAGUUGCCGCUAUUUGUUCUGGGCGUAUCACAGGCUUUUCCAGGAUGCUCGAGGUAAAUCAGGCGUGAGGAUUUCCUCAUGGAUCCGAUUCUGGUACUGGGAGGCCAUGAGGUAUAAGAAGCCUUUGAAGAAAAUUGGUCGUAACAAGACCACUAGGCCAAAGGGCGACUCAGACCCGUCCGGUGUUAUUGGCGCAACCAGGCGUCGCUCUUCUGACGAGUUGAGAGCAUUCGAGGAUCUUGGCAUAACACCAGAGCAUGUGGAGGAGUCUUACCUGGCUGCUUUCUUAGCUUGUUGGCUUUGUAAAUUUGUUUUCCCCGCAGGCGACGUCAACUUAGUUCGUCCUGAAGUUUUCAAAGUUGCUAGCAAGAUGGCUGCAGGUGAGUCUUUUAGCCUCGCUAUUCCGGUCUUAGCCAACAUUUACAAUGGCUUGAGCGUGGUUUCUGACUCGGCAAACACUGAAGAUCGUGCUGCGGUGCUCCCUUACCACUAUGUGUAUGGUUGGUUGGGUGAAUAUUUUGGCACUCAUUUUUCUCUGUCGACUCUGGAUAAGUCAAGGCCUUCUUCAUCGUCCGGAGCCAAGCUAGUGCCUUUGAUGACGAAGUAUUCUGGUGUGCUUUCCGCGAAGAGCCUUGACGAUUUGCAAGCGCGAGCGCUAUUUAAAAGUUGUGAAGAUUUGAGGAUGGACCCCUUAGCGAGAGUUGGCUCGGUGCGGCGAGGCGUUGUAGACAACUCGCAUCUCCGCUUCUCGGACUUGUCUUAUCUUAUAAGCCUUCGCUCAGGGUUUGUUUCUUUGCGGCAAGAAGACCGAUGUAUCAUCCAGUCAUAUAGCCCCCACCGUUUCAGCAGGCAAUUUUGGUUUUGUCCAAAGCGAGCCAGGCAAGUUGAAGGAAAGGAACCCAUCGGUAUCCCCGCAAGCCGUGUACAUGCAUUGGGAGUCUUUGUACCCGUUCAUGCACAAAUGCUGUUAUUACGCUGCCGGCCAAGGAUGAGUUCAUGAGUAAUCCAGUGACCCGUGUUUACGCACGUUGGUGGUCAAAGACACAUUAUAAGAACUCGGGGACGGCAAGUGGCACCCGUUCUUCUCACUUAAGAGAUGAUACGUCGAGAGAGGGUUGUCCUGUGAUUUCUAUGCAACUGGUACCCCUUGAUUGUGCAAGUGCGGCUCCCUUACAAGAUAGACCUGUAGCUUUAACUCUUCAACGUCCAUGCUUGUCCCCUCGACAUCCGGAUGCUUCCGAAGAGGCAGGGGAUGAAGGUGACUCGCCCGAAGAUGGACUCAUUUUGCAGCAGCGUCCACAAGUUUCAACCAAGAGAUCACUUGAGGAUGCUCAGGCUGACAGUGAUGUCAAUUUUCGUCACAAGAAGAAAGAAGCGCUUAGAACUCCUCAAUUCGAUGACCGUGCGCCAUUUGAGAGAGAUGUAUGUCCUUUAUUUUCUCUCACGAUUUCUUCUGCUUUUAUCGUUUUGGCUUUUUAUUUCUAACUUCUUUCUCCGUCUUCUUUAGGUUGGGCCUUCCCGUCAUUUUGAUUUGGCAACUGCAGAUGUUUAUUCCUAUACGAGGAUGCUAUUUGCAGGUAACCUACCUACAGACGGGGAUAUCGGGGAUCCUCCUGGUGCAGAGCUUGUUCCAAAUCCGUCGAACUUCCCGAGUUUGCCACGUGUGGGGUGGGGGGUAUGCAAGAACCCGUCAUGUGUCCAACGCCUUUGCCAGCUAGCUCUGAGAUCUCUUUGAGGGGGCCGAAUCUUAGCGGUACUGAGCGACUCAUCCAUCGCAUAAGCCUUGGUGCGGCAAUGGAGAUCAAGAGCCAUAUUGAGGCGAGGAUUUCUAAGUGUCCACUGGAAAAACCCCCGUUGCUUAAUGAGGAUUUGUCGAAGUUUGUUUCGGUGAUUGACAACCUUAACGUUGAUUCCUCCCCCUUGAAGAUCAAGAUUGCCGAACUCAUGGCCGCCUCAACUGAAUAUUCUUCCUUGCGUGCUAUUUCCUUAGAGAAUUUGAGUCCAGAUGUCAGAGCUCAUCAGCUAACCAUGAUAGACUCCUCACUGGCUCAAGUCUGGUCAUUUCAGCAAGCUGUUUCAGGAGAUUAUCAAGCCACGGAGGCUUCGUUAACUUCUGUCCAAGGGCGUCUAGAUGCAUUGGCGCGAGAGCGAGAGCAGUUGGUAGUUCGAGGCAUUACAACUUGAAAGUGUGUCCUCGCAGAGAGCAGGGAACUGCACUUUCUCAGUACCAAGAAGAGAUUUUCACGCCCUAGAACGAGAGAAAAACACGACUAUAGAAGUUACCCAUCUUGUCUCCCACCGAGGUAGAGACUUUGAAGACCUUGGAAGGCUCGCUUGGAGAUUGCCUUCGUAGCUUUAGAGACAUAGUUUUCAAGUAAUAUUUCUUGUAAUAAGGCCUUUGGAGCCAACUCCUUCUUUCAAAGAAAUAAAGCAUUUUAUGUUCUUGAAUUUGCUCCUCGAUCCUCAAAGUGUUUACUUAUUAUUACUAUUAUUUCUUUUAGAUGGUGUGACUGUACUUGAAGUUUUGACACUUCGAGUUGCCUACGUACCCUUUGUUGAGGAGGGAUCAAGUCAUAACGUAGUUCAAAAUACAUUAUAUAUAUAUAUAUAUAUAUAUAUAUAUUUUUUUUUUUUUUUUUUUUUUUUUUUUUUGCCGUUUGCAGUUUCAGCUCGUGCAGACCAGGAGCGUUGUGCCAUGCAGUUUAGGCUCGUGCAGGCGAGGAGCUUUGGUUCGUGCAGUUUAGGCUCGUGCGAACAAGGAGCAUUUGGUGCCGUGUUGCAGUUUCAGCUCGUGCAGGCAAGGAGCUUUGGGUUGUCGCAUUUUAUGCUCGUGCAGACCAGGAGCGUUGGUGUUGCCUUUUAUGCUCGUGCAGACCAGGAGCAUUGUGCCAUGCAAUUUAGGCUCGUGUAGGCGAGGAGCUUUGGUUCAUGCAGUUUUAGGCUCGUGCGAACAAGGAGCAUUGUGUCCUACAGUUUAGGCUCGUGCGGACAAGGAGCUUUUGUGAAUUUUGUCAAGCAAUCCGGGAGAGGCGUUCCUUACAAUUUUCAUAGCAAGGAGCUUUGACCGCGUGAUUGAAGAAGUCUUCGGGCAAGAAGUCGCGCAUCGUGAUGGGGACGGACGAUCUUCGUGUCGAAGUUUCAUCAUCUUCAACACGUUCAUGUUGCUUUGAAGGUUGACAAGAGCUACUUUGCCCCCUUUUCGAUUGGCGGACUUGUGGAGGAGACGUAUGCUUCUUAUGCAAUUUCUUAGGAGUGACUUGAGUCCAUCCUUCAACUUUGCUUGUCUUGGAGGAUGCCCCCAGCGGUUUAGGUGAAAACUUUGAGUCGGAAGAGCCAAAAGUGAAGGUGGUAUAGUUUGACUUCGCCACAUCGUCAAGAUCUAGCUCUAUGAUUCCUUUCUGAGCCAGCUUCAUGAUGAGAUCUUUCAACACGAAACAUUUUUCUGUCGGAUGACUGAUGAAGCGGUGGAAUUUACAGUACCUUGGACUGUCAGUGCGAUUCAUCUCUUCUAGCCGUCUGCACUCAGGCAAACUGAUCACCUUCUUGUCCAACAGGUCAUCUAGCAUGGCAACCACAUCAGAGUCGGGGAAUGGAUAAGUCUUCUCCUCAAGCUCCUUCAAAGUGCGUCUACGCAUCUCUUGAUCACGAAAAAGCUUCGGUUUGAAUCGCCUUGCCUCGUGUGGAUAUUUUUGACGGGAGAUGUGUUGACCGUCAUCGCUUCCUUGGUGGGUUUCCAUGCAGCCUUUUCCACCUUUGUCCCAAGAACUUUGUCGUUCUUGUAGUCGGCGGUCGGUUCUUUCUUCCCAUGAUGGGCGAUGCUCAACUCCAUGUCAUGGGCGCGAGUGGCCAAUUCCUCGAAGGUCCGCGGUUUAAUGCCUUGAAGGAUGUAUUGCAAACCCCAUUGCAUGCCUUGGAUGCACAUCUCGAUUGAAGAGGUUUCCGAGAUCCUGUCUUUACAGUCGAGGCUUAGAGUGCGCCAUCUGUUGAUGUAGUCAAUGACUGGCUCGUCCUUCCACUGCUUUGUGCUUGUUAGCUCUAGCAUGCUCACAGUGCGGCGGGUGCUGUAGAAGCGAUUGAGGAAUUCCCGCUCCAAUUGCUCCCAACUGUUGAUGGACUCAGGCUCCAGAUCCCGUGUACCACUCAAAGGCGUUUCCUUUCAGCGAGCGCACAAACUGCUUGGCGAGGUAGUCCCCUUCGGUUCCUGCGUUGUUGCAAGUUUCAACGAAGUGGGCAACGUGCUGUUUCGGGUUUCCCUUUCCAUCAAAUUGCAUGAACUUUGGUGGUUGAUAACCCAUCGGCAUCCUUAAGGCGUCGAUCUUCUUUUGAAUACGGCUUUGAGUACAACCCGGAGGUAUAUUGAGCUCCCUUCGUACUGUGCCUUGAUGGUGUUGGUGAUCAUCUCUUGCAGCUGCUUGGAUAGAAAGAGAUCCCAUGAGUGCCGCUGCUUGGUCUGGUUUCGGCUUCCCAUCGAUUUUCUUCACCGGGGGUUCUUCGUCUCCGCCAGCUCCUUCCUUUAGUGGAUCAUCCUCUGGGUCGGGUUUCUCGCUGUCCUGCGCCUCCAGUCGGUUGACUAAUGCCGCGAUUUGCAAGUCUUUUUCUUCCACAAUUCGAGUUAGUCUUGCGAUUGCUUCAUUCAUUUGAGCAAGCUGUUCCUCGACUGAAGUUGCUCCGGCGGUCAUGACUUGCAUGGCUGAACUGCCGCUUGAAUCGUCAUCGGAGAGCAUGGAUUCGGAGUAUUCCCUUGGUCUUUCCCCCCUUGGUGCCCUUAGUGAGGCUAAGGUGAUCAUAGGCUCGCGCCUGGGGUACUCUUGUCCAUUUGGCAGAGUUGAUGCAGAGGUGAAAGAGGUGGCAGAAGUAGCUCUUGCCAUGCUUCGAGUCGUGAUGCCCAAAGUGACACCACUUGCGACAAGGACGCUCUUGUUCUUUGCGCCGGUUGCGGGAACAGUUUGAGCCUUCCUUGAUGCCAUUAAUUUUCGAAGUGCGCUUGAAUUUCGGAGAAAGAGAUGAGAGGCAGAGAUGAUCCCACCGGGCGUGCCAAUUUGUGAACACGGAAAAUUCCUGAAACGAAAGAGACAAGAACAACGUGCACAAACAAAUAUUUGUGUUUGAUUUGAUGAUUUUGGGUUACAAUCUCUCUCUAUUUUGAUCCUCUGAUUCGAUCUCCGUAAGGUGUUGAUUUAUGGGAUGUGCGAUUGAUCCAAGGGCCGUCGAGGCUUGAUCUUGGAUGAACGAGGAUGAACGGAUCUUCAAGGGCUUUUGGGCUUGAUCUUGAAGAAUGGUGAUUGACGGAUCUUUAAGGGCUUUUGGGCUUGAUCUUGAAGAACAGUGAUGAACGGAUCUUCGAGAGCUUUUGGGCUUGAACGGAUCUUCGAGGGCUUUUGGGCUUGAUCUCGAAGAACAGUGAUGAACGAUGAACGCUUUCUUCAAGGGCCGUCGAGGCUUGGGCUUGAUGAACAACGGAUGAGCGGAUUCGUUGAUGUUGUCGAUCCAAAGGGGCCGUUGGGGCUUGAUCCUUGAGGAUGAACAGUUGAUGAACGAUGAACGAUGAACGCUUUCUUCAAGGGGCCGUUGAGGCUUGGGCUUGAAGGUGGAUGAUUGUUGAUCCAAAGGGCCGUCGGGGCUUAAUCUUAGGAUGAACGAAGAACGAAGAAC